rnacentral:rRNA from 1 species
ACUGCUCAGUAACACGUGGAUAACCUGCCCUUAGGUCUGGCAUAACCCCGGGAAACUGGGGAUAAUUCCGGAUAGAUCAUAGAUGCUGGAAUGCCCUGUGAUCCAAAGCUUUUGUGCCUGAGGAUGGGUCUGCGGUCUAUCAGGUUGUAGUGGGUGUAAUGUACCUACUAGCCUACGACGGAUACGGGUUGUGGGAGCAAGAGCCCGGAGAUGGAUUCUGAGACAUGAAUCCAGGCCCUACGGGGCGCAGCAGGCGCGAAAACUUUACAAUGCGGGAAACCGCGAUAAGGGGACACCGAGUGCCAGCAUCCUAUGUUGGCUGUCCAUAUGUCUAAAUCACAUGUGUUAGCAAGGGCCGGGCAAGACCGGUGCCAGCCGCCGCGGUAACACCGGCGGCCCGAGUGGUGACCACUAUUAUUGGGUCUAAAGGGUCCGUAGCCGGUUUGGUCAGUCUUCCGGGAAAUCUGACGGCUCAACCGUUAGGCUUUCGGGGGAUACUACCAGGCUUGGGACCGGGGGAGGUAAGAGGUACUACGGGGGUAGGAGUGAAAUCUUGUAAUCCCUGUGGGACCACCAGUGGCGAAGGCGUCUUACCAGAACGGGUCCGACGGUGAGGGACGAAAGCUGGGGGCACGAACCGGAUUAGAUACCCGGGUAGUCCCAGCUGUAAACUAUGCUCGCUAGGUGUCAGGGACGGUGCGACCGUUUCUGGUGCCGCAGGGAAGCCGUGAAGCGAGCCACCUGGGAAGUACGGUCGCAAGGCUGAAACUUAAAGGAAUUGGCGGGGGAGCAC